rnacentral:rRNA from 1 species
GACGAACGCUGGCGGCGUGCUUAACACAUGCAAGUCGAACGGUGAACGAGGGAGCUUGCUCCCUCCGGGUCAGUGGCGAACGGGUGAGUAACACGUGAGCAAUCUGCCCCGAACUCUGGGAUAAGCGUUGGAACCGACGUCUAAUACCGGAUACGACGCGGGAGGGCAUCCUCCCCGCGAGGAAAGACCUUCGGUUCGGGAUGAGCCCGGGGCCUAUGAGCUUGUUGGUGAGGUAAAGGCCCACCAAGGCGCCGACAGGCAGCUGGACUGAGAGGAUGCUCAGUCACACUGGAACGGAGACAGGGGCCAGAGGCCUAAGGGAGGCAGCAGUGGGGAAUAUGGGGCAAUGGGCGAAAGGCGGAUCCAGCGAUGCCGCGUGUGUGAAGAAGGUCUUGGGAUUGGAAAGAAAUUUAAGUUGGGAGGAAGGGCAGUAAGUUAAUACCUUGCUGUUUUGACGUUACCAACAGAAUAAGCACCGGCUAACUUCGUG